rnacentral:rRNA from 1 species
UGAGGGAAAGGCGAAAAGAACCCCGGCGAGGGGAGUGAAAAAGAACCUGAAACCGUGUACGUACAAGCAGUGGGAGCACGCUUAGGCGUGUGACUGCGUACCUUUUGUAUAAUGGGUCAGCGACUUAUAUUCUGUAGCAAGGUUAACCGAAUAGGGGAGCCGAAGGGAAACCGAGUCUUAACUGGGCGUUAAGUUGCAGGGUAUAGACCCGAAACCCGGUGAUCUAGCCAUGGGCAGGUUGAAGGUUGGGUAACACUAACUGGAGGACCGAACCGACUAAUGUUGAAAAAUUAGCGGAUGACUUGUGGCUGGGGGUGAAAGGCCAAUCAAACCGGGAGAUAGCUGGUUCUCCCCGAAAGCUAUUUAGGUAGCGCCUCGUGAAUUCAUCUCCGGGGGUAGAGCACUGUUUCGGCAAGGGGGUCAUCCCGACUUACCAACCCGAUGCAAACUGCGAAUACCGGAGAAUGUUAUCACGGGAGACACACGGCGGGUGCUAACGUCCGUCGUGAAGAGGGAAACAACCCAGACCGCCAGCUAAGGUCCCAAAGUCAUGGUUAAGUGGGAAACGAUGUGGGAAGGCCCAGACAGCCAGGAUGUUGGCUUAGAAGCAGCCAUCAUUUAAAGAAAGCGUAAUAGCUCACUGGUCGAGUCGGCCUGCGCGGAAGAUGUAACGGGGCUAAACCAUGCACCGAAGCUGCGGCAGCGACGCUGAUGCGUUGUUGGGUAGGGGAGCGUUCUGUAAGCCUGCGAAGGUGUGCUGUGAGGCAUGCUGGAGGUAUCAGAAGUGCGAAUGCUGACAUAAGUAACGAUAAAGCGGGUGAAAAGCCCGCUCGCCGGAAGACCAAGGGUUCCUGUCCAACGUUAAUCGGGGCAGGGUGAGUCGACCCCUAAGGCGAGGCCGAAAGGCGUAGUCGAUGGGAAACAGGUUAAUAUUCCUGUACUUGGUGUUACUGCGAAGGGGGGACGGAGAAGGCUAUGUUGGCCGGGCGACGGUUGUCCCGGUUUAAGCGUGUAGGCUGGUUUUCCAGGCAAAUCCGGAAAAUCAAGGCUGAGGCGUGAUGACGAGGCACUGCGGUGCUGAAGCAACAAAUGCCCUGCUUCCAGGAAAAGCCUCUAAGCAUCAGGUAACAUCAAAUCGUACCCCAAACCGACACAGGUGGUCAGGUAGAGAAUACCAAGGCGCUUGAGAGAACUCGGGUGAAGGAACUAGGCAAAAUGGUGCCGUAACUUCGGGAGAAGGCACGCUGAUAUGUAGGUGAAGUCCCUCGCGGAUGGAGCUGAAAUCAGUCGAAGAUACCAGCUGGCUGCAACUGUUUAUUAAAAACACAGCACUGUGCAAACACGAAAGUGGACGUAUACGGUGUGACGCCUGCCCGGUGCCGGAAGGUUAAUUGAUGGGGUUAGCGCAAGCGAAGCUCUUGAUCGAAGCCCCGGUAAACGGCGGCCGUAACUAUAACGGUCCUAAGGUAGCGAAAUUCCUUGUCGGGUAAGUUCCGACCUGCACGAAUGGCGUAAUGAUGGCCAGGCUGUCUCCACCCGAGACUCAGUGAAAUUGAACUCGCUGUGAAGAUGCAGUGUACCCGCGGCAAGACGGAAAGACCCCGUGAACCUUUACUAUAGCUUGACACUGAACAUUGAGCCUUGAUGUGUAGGAUAGGUGGGAGGCUUUGAAGUGUGGACGCCAGUCUGCAUGGAGCCGACCUUGAAAUACCACCCUUUAAUGUUUGAUGUUCUAACGUUGACCCGUAAUCCGGGUUGCGGACAGUGUCUGGUGGGUAGUUUGACUGGGGCGGUCUCCUCCUAAAGAGUAACGGAGGAGCACGAAGGUUGGCUAAUCCUGGUCGGACAUCAGGAGGUUAGUGCAAUGGCAUAAGCCAGCUUGACUGCGAGCGUGACGGCGCGAGCAGGUGCGAAAGCAGGUCAUAGUGAUCCGGUGGUUCUGAAUGGAAGGGCCAUCGCUCAACGGAUAAAAGGUACUCCGGGGAUAACAGGCUGAUACCGCCCAAGAGUUCAUAUCGACGGCGGUGUUUGGCACCUCGAUGUCGGCUCAUCACAUCCUGGGGCUGAAGUAGGUCCCAAGGGUAUGGCUGUUCGCCAUUUAAAGUGGUACGCGAGCUGGGUUUAGAACGUCGUGAGACAGUUCGGUCCCUAUCUGCCGUGGGCGCUGGAGAACUGAGGGGGGCUGCUCCUAGUACGAGAGGACCGGAGUGGACGCAUCACUGGUGUUCGGGUUGUCAUGCCAAUGGCACUGCCCGGUAGCUAAAUGCGGAAGAGAUAAGUGCUGAAAGCAUCUAAGCACGAAACUUGCC